GAAGCUGGGAAAGGGCACACGGAGGAUGCCUAGGCGGCGGGAGCCGAAGAAGGACGUGCUAAGCUGCGAAAAGCCCGGGGGAGGUGCACAGGACCUGUGAUACCGGGAUAUCCGAAUGGGAGAACCUGCAUACCUGGAGGGUAUGCGCGAGAGAGGUAAGCCGGCGAACUGAAACAUCUAAGUAGCCGGAGGAAAAGAAAGUAAAGACGAUUCCCUGAGUAGCGGCGAGCGAACGGGGAGGAGCCUAAACCGUAGAUGUGUCAAAGCUGGCGGCGUUGCAUCUGCGGGGUAGAGGGAACAUGCUGGGUCAAAGCCAUAAGGCCGGGUGUAUCAUGACGUAAGCGGAACGCGGCUGGAAAGCCGGACCGUAGGAGGUGAGAGUCCUGUAGAGCGUAAAGUGAUGAUAUGCCGUAUGUAAUCCCGAGUAGCAUCGGACACGAGGAAUCCGGUGUGAAUCAGCGUGGACCAUAUCACGUAAGGCUAAAUACUUCCGCCGACCGAUAGAGGAGAGUACCGUGAGGGAAAGGUGAAAAGAACCCUGAGCAAGGGAGUGAAAUAGAAUUUGAAACCGUGUGCUUACAAGCGGUAGGAGCCCUUAGGGGUGACUGCGUGGAUUUUGGUUAAUCAUCCUGCGAGUUAUGAUGUGUGGCGAGGUUAAGUAAAAGCGGAGCCGAAGGGAAACCGAGUCUUAAUAGGGCGACGAGUCGCAUGUCAUAGACGCGAAACCUAGUGAUCUAGGCCUGUCCAGGCUGAAGCUGAGGUAAGACUCAGUGGAGGGCCGAACUCACCGCCGUUGAAAAGUUGGGAGAUGAGAUAGGUCUAGGGGUGAAAAGCCAAUCGAACUAGGAGAUAGCUCGUUCUCUCCGAAAUGCAUUUAGGUGCAGCCUUGGACUGAGAUAUGUGGGGGUAGAGCUCUGUAUGAUCUAGGGGGCGUACUGCUUACCGAAAUCAAGCAAACUUCGAAUACCAUAUAUCAUGUUCAGGAGUGAGUCCGUGGAUGACAAGGUCCUCGGACGAGAGGGGAACAGCCCAGACCGCCAGCUAAGGUCCCUAAUUAUGUCUAAGUGGGAAAGGAGGUGGAUAUUCACAGACAACCAGGAGGUUGGCUUAGAAGCAGCCAUGCCUUGAAAGAGUGCGUAAUAGCUCACUGGUCGAGAGUGCCUGCGCCGAAGAUGUAACGGGGCUAAGACAUAAACCGAAGCUGUGGAAGAUACACUGUAUCUUGGUAGGAGAGCGUUCUGUAGGCCGUCGAAGGGAUGCCGCAAGGCCGUCCUGGAGGUAUCAGAAGCGAGAAUGCAGGAAUGAGUAGCGAGAAGGCGGGCGAGAAUCCCGCCGGCCGGAAGUCCAAGGUUUCCAGGGGAAGGUUUGUCCGCCCUGGGGAAGUCGGGACCUAAGCAUAAGCAAAAUUGUGAUGGCGAAUGGAAAACAGGUUAAUAUUCCUGUACCACUAUUAUCGCUUGAGAGACGGAGUGACGCAGGAAGGUAUGUGAGAAGACUGACGGAAUAGUCUUUCUAAGGGCGUAGCAUGGACACGCAGGUAAAUCCGCGUGUCUAAAUGUGAGACCUGAUGGGCAAGUGCAUUAGCAUAAGUUACAGAUCCUACACUGCCAAGAAAAACUUCUAUCGAUGAAAAAUAGUGCCCGUACUGUAAACCGACACAGGUGGACAGAGUGAGAAACUUAAGGCCGACAGGAUAACUCUAGCUAAGGAACUCUGCAAAAUAGCCCCGUAACUUCGGGAGAAGGGGUGCCUGACAUACCUGAAGGAGAGAAGCGCUCCCAGGGGAAACAGGCCGCAGUGAAGAGUCUCAAGCAACUGUUUACCAAAAACACAGGUCUAUGCUAAGCUGAAAGGCGACGUAUAUGGGCUGACACCUGCCCAGUGCCGGAAGGUUAAGAGGAGGGUUGAGAGACUCAAAUUGAAGCCCCGGUGAACGGCGGCCGUAACUAUAACGGUCCUAAGGUAGCGAAAUUCCUUGUCGGGUAAGUUCCGACCUGCACGAAUGGUGAAAUGAUUUGGGAGCUGUCUUGGCUGGAGACCUGGUGAAGUUGUAAUGUCGGUGAAGAUACCGACUACCUGCAGUAGGACGGAAAGACCCCGUGGAGCUUUACUGUAG
rnacentral:rRNA from 1 species